UACGUAGGGCGCAAGCGUUGUCCGGAAUCAUUGGGCGUAAAGAGCUCGUAGGCGGCCUGUUGCGUCCGCUGUGAAAUCCCGGGGCUUAACCCCGGGCGUGCAGUGGAUACGGGCUGGCUGGAGGCAGGCAGGGGAGAACGGAAUUCCCGGUGUAGCGGUGAAAUGCGCAGAUAUCGGGAGGAACACCGGUGGCGAAGGCGGAUCUCUGGGCCAUUACUGACGCUGAGGAGCGAAAGCGUGGGGAGCGAACAGG
rnacentral:rRNA from 1 species